UUCUGCUCUUUCGGUCCGUGAUACCGACUAGUACUUCUUCAUAAAACAAGUCCUCUUGGAGUGGAAGCGGUUCAUGAACCAAGACAUUAGAAGGGUCCGAGUUGUACUUACGUAGCAUGGAUACGUGGAACAUGUUGUGGACUCUGGAGAGCUCUGGAGGCAGUGCUAGUCUGUAGGCAGCAGUACCAAUCCUGUCUAAGAUUUCAAAUGGUCCAAUAUAUCGGGAGUUUAAUUUUCCCCUCCUACCGAACCUACUAAUUUCCUUGAAAGGAGUGACCUUAAGAAACACCCGGUCGCCUUUCUCAAAUGUUAGGUCU
rnacentral:lncRNA from 1 species